rnacentral:rRNA from 1 species
UGAGGUAACGCGUGGGUAACCUGCCCUAGUACUGGGGGAUAGCAAGUUGGAAACGACUGAUAAUACCGCAUAAGCGCACAGCAUCGCAUGGUGCAGUGUGAAAAAACUCCGGUGGUAUAGGAUGGACCCGCGUCUGAUUAGCUAGUGGUGAGGUAACGGCCCACCAAGGCGACGAUCAGUAGCCGGCCUGAGAGGGUGUACGGCCACAUUGGGACUGAGACACGGCCCAAACUCCUACGGGAGGCAGCAGUGGGGAAUAGUUGGACAAUGGGGGAAACCCUGAUCCAGCGACGACCCGCGUGAGUGAAGAAGUAUCUCGGUAUGUAAAGCGUCUAUCAGCAGGGAAGAUAAUGACGGUACCUGACUAAGAAGCACCGGCUAAAUACGUGCCAGCAGCCGC